UCACUGCAUCUCUCUUUCUCUCUCUCAUCCUCUUUUUUUCUCUUUCUCUCUCUGCGCACAGGUUCAUGUUCUUCUUCCUCUUCCUCAACCAUAUCCAUCUUCAUCUUCUUCCACUAUCGUUGAGAUUUUGUAUUCGGUAACAUCGUCACCAUCCUCUUCUCAAUCAUAUGAUAUUUUUGUAUCCCACCAAAAUAAGAAUGAUGUGUGAAUCCGUUUCGGUAACAUCGUCACCAUCCUUUUCUCUUUUGUUUUUCCGUCCUCCAUCUCUUUUGAGGCAGUCUUUCUCUUUCUCUAACAAUGACGAAGAAGAUUGUUGAGGUAAGUUCUAACGCUGCCCUUAUUUUUGUUUUGGCAAAUUGAUGAGGUUAUGUGAAGAGUUGCAGCAGGGUCGGUUUGAAGUUGCAGGGUCGACAAAUUUUUGUUUGUGAUUUUUUGGUUUGAUUUUGUGAUUUUCGUUGAAAUUUUUUUGAUUUUUUCUCAAAUUGUUGUAUUCGAUGUAUUUCGUUGAUAAAGUUUUGAUUUUUAUAUGUUUUGAAGACACCCUUUUGUUUGUUUUUGUUAUAAAAGUAAUUAUGCAUGGUAAAUGAUAUUUUGUGGCUGAUUUGAUGAUUCAGUGGUUUGUUUUUCAGGAUAUAGACGCAGAUUCAGAUUCAAAAAUGCAGGCAUCGGUGGAAUCUGAUAUAUUAAAAUCACUUGAGAUAUAAGAAGCAGAGGCACGUGUAUGCACGAUGAGGCUAUUCCUCAUUACAUAGACAUGAUUGAUCAGACUACACUUGGACACCGAUUUCUAAAAUAGGAGUUUGGUGUGACUCCCAGAAUCGAGUGGCAAAUUGAUCCCUUUGGCCAUUCUGUUGUGCACGCUUACUUAUUGGGAGUUGAAGUAUGCCAUAAAACUUCAAACCAAUGGCUCAUUUGCUUAACAUUUUAUGAAAAAUAAAUUAACCAUCCAAGUAUAUUUUCAUACUGUGGAUGCAAGUUGGCUUUGAUUCAUUUUGCUUUGAUUCAAUGAGCAAAGAUGAUCAUAUUUGGAAUUAUGGUGAAGGGACUAAUGGUUCUGUUCAUAGCAGAUUUAAACCGAUUGUUGUUUCAUGUGGUUUCUUUGACAAGGCUACCUCUGUAACUGAGGCAUUCAAUGUUGCUGAUGAUAUUCUUUGACAAGGCGUUCGUGGCAUAUUUGAUAUUGUUACAAUAUUAAAUUGCAAAUAAUCUUUGAACAUUGAUACAUGCAUUCCUUUUGUUCCUGUAUUAUAUUUCUAUACAAAUUAAAAUUAAUAAUGGUCAUGUAGUACAAUGGUUCUGACCUACUAUAGUAUAGGUGUAAUUUCUUUUCUAUGUUUUAUGACUUUGAUCUAGCAGACUGAUAAAAGUGUUGUUGUUCCAAAUUUUGGUGAGUGGGAUGAGAAUGACCCUCAUUAUUUUUAUUUGACAGAACUGUUUUGUUUAGAGAAUAUAACUUUGUUAUUCUGUUUAGAGAACAACAUUUUUUCCUGUAGAAAUUAUUUAUAUUGUUGACUGCAUAUCCAAAACUCAUGAUUUGGAAGAUUGCUUAGAGUUGUGUUCUUAUUACGUUUCAGGUUUAGUGAGAUUCAGUGGGCUACUUUUGUUCUCCUGAUUGUUCUAAGCACUACAACUUAUUAGUGUUCAAAGUAAGACUAAUUCAAA